UAACAUUAUCUCUUUAUAUAUUGUCAUAAUUUAUUAUUUUUUGUUUUACGUUUUCCUUUUUUUUGAUUUGUCGUACUUUAUAUCUCGUAAUGAUCAUUUUUAUACUAUUAUAUUUUUUUCUGAUUUUAUGUUUUAUAUAUUUUUUUGUUUUUUCAUAUGGAACAAUUUUUAAAUUUAACAUAUUAGUAUAAUUUACUUUAUUUUUAGUUUAUUUC
rnacentral:lncRNA from 1 species